rnacentral:rRNA from 1 species
UACAGAGGUCCCAAGCGUUGUUCGGAUUCACUGGGCGUAAAGGGUGCGUAGGUGGUGAGGUAAGUCGGAUGUGAAAGCUCGGAGCUCAACUCCGAAAUGGCAUUGGAAACUACCUUGCUCGAGGGUUGGAGGGGGGACUGGAAUGCUUGGUGUAGCAGUGAAAUGCGUAGAUAUCAAGCGGAACACCAGUGGCGAAGGCGAGUUCCUGGACAGUUACUGACGCUGAGGCACGAAGGCCAGGGGAGCAAACGGG